rnacentral:rRNA from 1 species
AGUGAACGCUGGCGGUAGGCCUAACACAUGCAAGUCGAACGGCAGCACAGUAAGAGCUUGCUCUUACGGGUGGCGAGUGGCGGACGGGUGAGGAAUACAUCGGAAUCUACUUUUUCGUGGGGGAUAACGUAGGGAAACUUGCGCUAAUACCGCAUACGACCUACGGGUGAAAGCAGGGGAUCUUCGGACCUUGCGCGAUUGAAUGAGCCGAUGUCGGAUUAGCUAGUUGGCGGGGUAAAGGCCCACCAAGGCGACGAUCCGUAGCUGGUCUGAGAGGAGGAUCAGCGACACUGGAGCUGAGACACGGUCCAGACUCCUACGGGAGGCAGCAGUGGGGAAUAUUGGGCAAUGGUCGCAAGCCUGAUCCAGCCAUACCGCGUGGGUGAAGAAGGCCUUCGGGUUGUAAAGCCCUUUUGUUGGGAAAGAAAAGCAGCAGGUUAAUACCCCGCUGUUCUGACGGUACCCAAAGAAUAAGCACCGGCUAACUUCGUG